rnacentral:rRNA from 1 species
GACGAACGCUGGCGGCGUGCCUAAUAUAUGCAAGUCGAACGAGAGCGACCGGUGCUUGCACUGGUCAAUCUAGUGGCGAACGGGUGAGUAACACGUGGGUAACCUGCCCAUCAGAGGGGGAUAACAUCCGGAAACGGAUGCUAAAACCGCAUAGGUCUUCGAGCCGCAUGGCUUGAAGAGGAAAAGAGGCGCAAGCUUCUGCUGAUGGAUGGACCCGCGGUGCAUUAGCUAGUUGGUGAGGUAACGGCUCACCAAGGCCGUGAUGCAUAGCCGACCUGAGAGGGUGAUCGGCCACAUUGGGACUGAGACACGGCCCAAACUCCUACGGGAGGCAGCAGUAGGGAAUCUUCCGCAAUGGACGCAAGUCUGACGGAGCAACGCCGCGUGAGUGAAGAAGGUUUUCGGAUCGUAAAACUCUGUUGUUAGAGAAGAACAAGUGCUAGAGUAACUGUUAGCGCCUUGACGGUAUCUAACCAGAAAGCCACGGCUAACUACGUG